UACGUAGGGGGCUAGCGUUGUCCGGAAUCAUUGGGCGUAAAGCGCGUGUAGGCGGUUCGGUAAGUCCGCUGUGAAAGUCGGGGGCUCAACCCUCGAAAGCCGGUGGAUACUGUCGGGCUAGAGUACGGAAGAGGCGAGUGGAAUUCCUGGUGUAGCGGUGAAAUGCGCAGAUAUCAGGAGGAACACCUAUUGCGAAGGCAGCUCGCUGGGACGUUACUGACGCUGAGGAGCGAAAGCGUGGGGAGCGAACAGG
rnacentral:rRNA from 1 species